GACGAACGCUGGCGGCGUGCUUAACACAUGCAAGUCGAACGGAAAGGCCCUGCUUUUGUGGGGUGCUCGAGUGGCGAACGGGUGAGUAACACGUGAGUAACCUGCCCUUGACUUUUGGAUAACUUCAGGAAACUGGGGCUAAUACCGGAUAGGAGCUCCUGCUGCAUGGUGGGGGUUGGAAAGUUUCGGCGGUUGGGGAUGGACUCGCGGCUUAUCAGCUUGUUGGUGGGGUAGUGGCUUACCAAGGGUUUGACGGGUAGCCGGCCUGAGAGGGUGACCGGCCACAUUGGGACUGAGAUACGGCCCAGACUCCUACGGGAGGCAGCAGUGGGGAAUAUUGCACAAUGGGCGGAAGCCUGAUGCAGCAACGCCGCGUGCGGGAUGACGGCCUUCGGGUUGUAAACCGCUUUCGCCUGUGACGAAGCGUGAGUGACGGUAAUGGGUAAAGAAGCACCGGCUAACUACGUG
rnacentral:rRNA from 1 species